rnacentral:misc_RNA from 1 species
UAAUAAGUGUUUUAUGGCACUUCUUAAAUCCAUAUCCCACCUUGUGUGCAAUGUCAGUCGAUCUUUCUUAUGGAGAUCGACCAAACAUCAACCUUAUUUUUUAACUGUCUGUCUGAAAACUAUUAUGAAUAAACAAUUCAAAUA